UCCAAUGUGGUCUAGCGGUCAGGAUUCCUGGCCUUCACCCAGGUGGCCUGGGUUCAACUCCCGGUAUGGGAA
rnacentral:tRNA from 1 species